UGGUGGGUAGUUUGACUGGGGCGGUCUCCUCCUAAAGAGUAACGGAGGAGCACGAAGGUUGGCUAAUCCUGGUCGGACAUCAGGAGGUUAGUGCAAUGGCAUAAGCCAGCUUGACUGCGAGCGUGACGGCGCGAGCAGGUGCGAAAGCAGGUCAUAGUGAUCCGGUGGUUCUGAAUGGAAGGGCCAUCGCUCAACGGAUAAAAGGUACUCCGGGGAUAACAGGCUGAUACCGCCCAAGAGUUCAUAUCGACGGCGGUGUUUGGCACCUCGAUGUCGGCUCAUCACAUCCUGGGGCUGAAGUAGGUCCCAAGGGUAUGGCUGUUCGCCAUUUAAAGUGGUACGCGAGCUGGGUUUAGAACGUCGUGAGACAGUUCGGUCCCUAUCUGCCGUGGGCGCUGGAGAACUGAGGGGGGCUGCUCCUAGUACGAGAGGAC
rnacentral:rRNA from 2 species